rnacentral:SRP_RNA from 2 species
GCUGGGUGUGGUGGCGGGUGCCUGUAAUCCCAGCUACUUGGGAGGCUGAGGCAGAAUAAUUGCUUGAACCCAGGAGGCGGAGGCUGCAGUGAGCAGAGAUUGCACCACUGCACUCCAGCCUGGGUGACAGAGUGAGACUCUGUCUCAA